rnacentral:rRNA from 1 species
ACGAACGCUGGCGGCGUGCCUAACACAUGCAAGUCGAGCGGAGACAGUGAGUAGCUUGCUACGAACUGUUUUAGCGGCGGACGGGUGAGUAACGCGUGAGCAACCUUUCCCAGACAGGGGAAUAACACACCGAAAGGUGUACUAAUACCGCAUAAGACCACGGGAUCACAUGGUUCUGAGGUAAAAGAUUUAUCGGUUUGGGGUGGGCUCGCGUCCGAUUAGGUAGUUGGUGAGGUAACGGCCCACCAAGCCGACGAUCGGUAGCCGACCUGAGAGGGUGAUCGGCCACAUUGGGACUGAGACACGGCCCAAACUCCUACGGGAGGCAGCAGUGGGGAAUAUUGGGCAAUGGAGGAAACUCUGACCCAGCAACGCCGCGUGGAGGAAGAAGGUUUUCGGAUCGUAAACUCCUGUCCUUGGAGACGAGUAGAAGACGGUAUCCAAGGAGGAAGCCCCGGCUAACUACGUGCCAGCAGCCGCGGUAAUACGUAGGGGGCAAGCGUUGUCCGGAAUAAUUGGGCGUAAAGGGCGCGUAGGCGGCUCGGUAAGUCUGGAGUGAAAGUCCUGCUUUUAAGGUGGGAAUUGCUUUGGAUACUGUCGGGCUUGAGUGCAGGAGAGGUUAGUGGAAUUCCCAGUGUAGCGGUGAAAUGCGUAGAGAUUGGGAGGAACACCAGUGGCGAAGGCGACUAACUGGACUGUAACUGACGCUGAGGCGCGAAAGUGUGGGGAGCAAACAGGAUUAGAUACCCUGGUAGUCCACACUGUAAACGAUGAAUGCUAGGUGUAGGGGGUAUCGACCCCUUCUGUGCCGCAGUCAACACAAUAAGCAUUCCGCCUGGGGAGUACGGCCGCAAGGUUGAAACUCAAAGGAAUUGACGGGGGCCCGCACAAGCAGCGGAGCAUGUGGUUUAAUUCGACGCAACGCGAAGAACCUUACCAGGUCUUGACAUCCACUUAAACUUACAGAGAUGUAAGGUGUGCUUGCACAAAGUGAGACAGGUGGUGCAUGGUUGUCGUCAGCUCGUGUCGUGAGAUGUUGGGUUAAGUCCCGCAACGAGCGCAACCCUUAUUGCCAGUUACUACGUAAGAGGACUCUGGCGAGACUGCCGUUGACAAAACGGAGGAAGGUGGGGAUGACGUCAAAUCAUCAUGCCCUUUAUGACCUGGGCUACACACGUACUACAAUGGCGUUUAACAAAGAGAAGCAAGACCGCGAGGUGGAGCAAAACUCAAAAACAACGUCUCAGUUCAGAUUGCAGGCUGCAACUCGCCUGCAUGAAGUCGGAAUUGCUAGUAAUCGCGGAUCAGCAUGCCGCGGUGAAUACGUUCCCGGGCCUUGUACACACCGCCCGUCACACCAUGGGAGUUGGGAGUGCCCAAAGCCGGUGAGGCAACCGCAAGGAGCCAGCCGUCUAAGGCAAGACCAAUGACUGGGGUG